UGCCAUCUUGUAACUAUGAGUACUAUGAAAAAUAAACAGUUCAAAUAAAAUAUACACCCAAAAAAAUACAUGUGGGGUACCUUUGAACCAAUAACAAUAUAACAGCUUAUAUUUUCUAAUGUAAUCUGACUCCAGCAAUAUCUGUAUCUCUCGCACAGACUUGUUGGAAGAGAGAU